rnacentral:rRNA from 1 species
UACGAGGGGGGCAAGCGUUGUUCGGAAUUAUUGGGCGUAAAGGGCGCGUAGGCGGUUUGACAAGUCUGAUGUGAAAUCUAUGGGCUCAACCCAUAGCCUGCAUUAGAAACUGUCGGGCUUGAGUAUGGGAGAGGUGAGUGGAAUUUCCGGUGUAGCGGUGAAAUGCGUAGAUAUCGGAAGGAACACCUGUGGCGAAAGCGGCUCACUGGACCAUAACUGACGCUGAGGCGCGAAAGCUAGGGGAGCGAAUAGG